rnacentral:rRNA from 1 species
GGCGCAGGCGGGAAAGAAAGUCAGAUGUGAAAUUCCGGGGCUCAACCUCGGAGCUGCAUUUGAAACUCCCUUUCUUGAGGAUAGGCGGAGAAAACGGAAUUCCACAAGUAGCGGUGAAAUGCGUAGAUAUGUGGAAGAACACCCGUGGCGAAAGCGGUUUUCUAGCUUAUUCCUGACGCUGAGGCCCGAAAGCUAGGGGAGCGAACA